rnacentral:rRNA from 1 species
AGUGAACGCUGGCGGUAGGCCUAACACAUGCAAGUCGAACGGCAGCACAGUAAGAGCUUGCUCUUACGGGUGGCGAGUGGCGGACGGGUGAGGAAUACAUCGGAAUCUACUUUUUCGUGGGGGAUAACGUAGGGAAACUUACGCUAAUACCGCAUACGACCUACGGGUGAAAGCAGGGGAUCUUCGGACCUUGUGCGAUUGAAUGAGCCGAUGUCGGAUUAGCUAGUUGGCGGGGUAAAGGCCCACCAAGGCGACGAUCCGUAGUUGGUCUGAGAGGAUGAUCAGCCACACUGGAACUGAGACACGGUCCAGACUCCUACGGGAGGCAGCAGUGGGGAAUAUUGGACAAUGGGCGCAAGCCUGAUCCAGCCAUACCGCGUGGGUGAAGAAGGCCUUCGGGUUGUAAAGCCCUUUUGUUGGGAAAGAAAAGCAGCAGGUUAAUACCCCGCUGUUCUGACGGUACCCAAAGAAUAAGCACCGGCUAACUUCGUG